rnacentral:lncRNA from 1 species
CAGGGUUAAAGCCACUUAACUCUCGAGGUAUUUAAAGAAGUAGGAUCCGAAAAAUCAGUCUUACUCUUUUGUAUGUCUUGGUAUAUAGUAAUGGAACUCCAAAAGAUCCAAGCUGCUCUUAUUAUUCUGCCAAAUACCUAACAAAUGGUUUCUAGCCUUCUCCCAAUCCCAUUGGGGAGCACUGUAUUUGGCAGCACUAAUACACACACAGUCAGCGUGAUGUUUGAGCCUUUCCUUGAAUUUCAAAGCUGAAAGCUCAUUACCAAUAUUUAUGACAGUAGCCUCGAAAGCAUUUAGCUUAGUCUCAAUCCUUUUAUCAAUAUUUGUUUGAUUAUGAAGAGCUUUGGAAGUGUUCUUAGUCAAAUUAUUAAGAAAAUCUGCAUGUUGAAUAUUUUGAGAUUGGCCACUGAAGCUGUGACCAUGGAAGCAAUAAAUGAAACUAAGGCAACUACUCCCAAUACUCCGAGUCCAAGAGCACAUUAGGUCUCACUAGCUGGGCUUGUGCUUGUUGUAAGACUUGGAAACCAGCCUCAGUGUACCCUGGCUCUGAAGUAUUAGCUGGCAAUGAGACCAAAGAGGGCUGAUGACGUAUUGUAUCUGCGCUCCUUUCCCUCUACUAUAUCUGGUGAUACAGUGAGUUAACAGGCCAUAACAGGAACCCUCCUUACAAUUUUUGCCUACAAAGUCUGGUAAAGAUUUGUCAGUAAAAUGUAAAAAAUUGUGAGGCAGCAAUUAAGCACCAGACAUCUUUCUGAAUACCACCUUUUCUGAAGGUCAAGAUGUUACUAACAAAUUCUCCAGGGGUCAUGGCAGCACCCUUGCAUAAAUGCUUUUUGUCAAAUCUAGGAGGUCAGUCUAAAAUGUACCCACU